rnacentral:rRNA from 1 species
AUGAACGCUGGCGGCGUGCCUAAUACAUGCAAGUCGAGCGAACAGACGAGGAGCUUGCUCCUCUGACGUUAGCGGCGGACGGGUGAGUAACACGUGGAUAACCUACCUAUAAGACUGGGAUAACUUCGGGAAACCGGAGCUAAUACCGGAUAAUAUAUUGAACCGCAUGGUUCAAUAGUGAAAGACGGUUUUGCUGUCACUUAUAGAUGGAUCCGCGCCGCAUUAGCUAGUUGGUAAGGUAACGGCUUACCAAGGCAACGAUGCGUAGCCGACCUGAGAGGGUGAUCGGCCACACUGGAACUGAGACACGGUCCAGACUCCUACGGGAGGCAGCAGUAGGGAAUCUUCCGCAAUGGGCGAAAGCCUGACGGAGCAACGCCGCGUGAGUGAUGAAGGUCUUCGGAUCGUAAAACUCUGUUAUUAGGGAAGAACAAAUGUGUAAGUAACUAUGCACGUCUUGACGGUACCUGAUCAGAAAGCCACGGCUAACUACGUG